GCAAGUCGAACGGUAACAUGAGAGCUUGCUCUUGAUGACGAGUGGCGCACGGGUGCGUAACGCGUAUACAAUCUACCUUUUACAGGGGGAUAGCCCAGAGAAAUUUGGAUUAAUACCCCAUAGUAUUGAGAAUUGGCAUCGAUUUUCAAUUAAAGAUUUAUCGGUAAGAGAUGAGUAUGCGUUCUAUUAGCUAGUAGGUAAGGUAACGGCUUACCUAGGCAACGAUAGAUAGGGGCCCUGAGAGGGGGAUC
rnacentral:rRNA from 1 species